rnacentral:lncRNA from 1 species
UAAAACGUUUAGCUGACCUUUACGAGUUAUCUCCCUGUAGUGUUAGGUACCACCUUAAGUAUGAGUAGACCAUAGAAAAAUGGUCAAAGAGGUUAACGUUAUUCAGAAGUUGCAUACAAAUAAAUGAUGUUACAAAACUUAUUGUCACAACUCAGCUAUUGUACCUUUUUUUUAUUUUUAGUUUAUUAAUGUGAAAUGAUCUUACUACAUUUAUAGCAGCAAUAGUCUGACCACAAUUAUUCUUUUUGAAUUUUGUUUUUUUACAAUGAAAGUGUGAUAGAUUGUAAGUAAUAAUUUUGUUUGAAUACUCUAUAUUCCACUGUUUUGUUAAGCACACAUGUGAUAGACCACUUGUUAAUUUACACAAUUCAAAAGCUGGUUAUAAAUGUUUGGUAUGAAAAUUUGAAAUAAAGAGUUGUUUAAUGAAUAUCAAAAUUUAACCUGCCUACAUGGUAUAAAGAUAUAUAUCUGUAUGUCAUCGCACAAUUUUGUUUCAUUCAUAUUCUGUGAACCAAUGAGGGUGUUUUUUUGCUACCUUGACUACCGGUACCCAUGAGGUUUUGUGAAAGAAAUUGUUAGUUGAGCUUAAUUUGCAAAUUUUGUGUCAGAAUAUGAACCAGUAUGCAUCUGGAUCCCUGUUGGGACGGUUUACUAAGGAAUUUAAACCUUUUCAAAUAUUUGUACUGAAAACAGAUGCAAGUCCAUCAAAAGAGCAAAGCAUAAACAGUGCUACAAAAAUGUUAACCUGGAGGAGAAAUAAUGGCUCUGAAUACAUUUAAACUGGCUUUUGAAAUGCGCAAUGUUUUAUCAUGUUAAUUUGAUCGCUGUGUGUAGACAUUAAGGAUUUGUUUUACAUUAAAAUGUUUGAUUAUAUCAUGUGUGUUUUUUAUAACUUGUGUAAAAAUGUUAUGAAAAUAGCAAUGUAAAGUAUAAUAAUGUAUCUCAAGAUAAGAGCCAGUGCCUUGGGUUGAUUGAUUG